AGCAGUCGCCGCGGUAAUACGUAGGGUGCAAGCGUUAAUCGGAAUUACUGGGCGUAAAGCGCACGUAGGCGGCUUGGUAAGUUAGAGGUGAAAGCCCGGAGCUCAACUCCGGAAUUGCCUUUAAGACUGCCGAGCUAGUAGGUGAGAGAGGUAAGUGGAAUUCCGAGUGUAGAGGUGAAAAUCGUAGAUAUUCGGAAGAACACCAGUGGCGAAGGCGGCUUACUGGCUCAUUCUAGACGCUGAGGUGCGAAAGCGUGGGGAGCAAACAGGAUUAGAUACCCGUGUAGUCCCUGUCUCUUAUAC
rnacentral:rRNA from 1 species